GAGGUUUAGCUCAGUUGGGAGAGCAUCUGCCUUACAAGCAGGGGGUCGUAGGUUCGAGCCCUACAAUCUCC
rnacentral:tRNA from 1 species